rnacentral:rRNA from 1 species
CCGGGUGAGUAACACGUAUCCAACCUGCCGUCUACUCUUGGACAGCCUUCUGAAGGAAGAUUAAUACAAGAUGGCAUCAUGAGUCCACAUGUUCACAUGAUUAAAGGUAUUCCGGUAGACGAUGGGGAUGCGUUCCAUUAGAUAGUAGGCGGGGUAACGGCCCACCUAGUCUUCGAUGGAUAGGGGUUCUGAGAGGAAGGUCCCCCACAUUGGAACUGAGACACGGACCAG